ensembl:snRNA U6 U6 spliceosomal RNA
UGUAUACUAAAAUUGGAACAAAAUAAAAUAAAAUAGGAACGAUAUAGAGCUUGGCAUGGCCCUUGUGCAAGGAUGACAUGCAAAUUUGUGAAGAGUUCCAUAUUUUU